GGCAGAGAAGCGCAGGGUGCGCGUCGGGUCUUACUGUCUAUCUUGGUGAGGUUAUAAUUUAUCUCGAUGUCCCCCGUUCGAUUCGGGGCUCUGCCG